GUCUAUGGCCAUGCUACCCUGAACAAGCCCAAUCCCGGCUGAUCUCGGAAGCUAAGCAGGGUCGGGCCUGGUUAGUACUUGGAUGGGAGACCACAUAGGAAGACCAGGUGCUGUAGAGA
rnacentral:rRNA from 1 species